rnacentral:rRNA from 1 species
UACGGAGGGGGCUAGCGUUGUUCGGAAUCACUGGGCGUAAAGGGUGCGUAGGCGGGGCUUUAAGUCAGGGGUGAAAUCCUGGAGCUCAACUCCAGAACUGCCUUUGAUACUGAAGAUCUUGAGUUCGGGAGAGGUGAGUGGAACUGCGAGUGUAGAGGUGAAAUUCGUAGAUAUUCGCAAGAACACCAGUGGCGAAGGCGGCUCACUGGCCCGAUACUGACGCUGAGGCACGAAAGCGUGGGGAGCAAACAGG